CAUCCCCUCUACCACAGCAGGCAAAAUGCAAUUAAAUGGUGUCAGUUGUAAGGGAAAAGUAAUGAUUUUUUCUUCCAUAAAUCACAAACCCCAAGUCUUUGCAGUCUUGUAAUCCAAGCCCUUGCUUACAUCACUUUAUGAAUGUGAUAAAGAAAACAUAAUAUGCUCUAUUUUAUUAUAAAUUCUAAUUUUAUAGGCAUAAAAAAUGCAAACUUGCAAAGCUUAUGUUCAUGCUCAUGUGUCCACAUACUUAAGUGCCAGCAGAUGUUCAAUGAUCAAUAAAACUCGAUUUACAUACAUUAUUCUGAAACAUCCUUGAUCAUACAUAUAGGCUGGGAAUGUCUAAUCACUAUGACUAGGAAUGAUGACAAUCAACUACAAAGUUACAAAACUGAAUGCUAUUGUGGUAAGUUUUAUUUCAACUGUAGAAGGAAAACUUUUACUGAUUUUCAUUGAGGCUGCUGGGACAGAACCCACAAUUUAGAACCUAAAUGGUAGAUUUAUGGAAAUAACAAGUGGCUAAAACCAACUUCAGCAUUGUCAGGCAUGGCUGACUGAAAAGGAUCUGGUUUAUUAUGAUAAACUAAAUGUCCUCAGAGAUUAUAGGUUUUAUAACAAGGGGUCCCUGAAUUGUGGUGUUUGCAUUCAUAAUGAUAAACAAAUAUACAUUUAUUGGGGGGGCAAUCACUGAUUUGCACAAGGAUCAUAGGAAAGCAGAUGAUCAUAGAUCAUAGAAGAUUAUAGAAAGAGAGAUGUGCUUGAUUUCAGGUCUGGCUCUCCAAGCUCACUAUAUAGAAGCAGAAAGCGGGAGUCUAAGAUGCUGCACAUCAGCUCAAAUCCACCUCAACAGACUAUGACUGGAAGAACAAACUCUUCUGAAACCAGGUGUCUGUUGGAUGUCAUAGAAGAUGGGUUAACAAAAUUUUAAAAGUGGUGCAAGAGGGACCACUUUUCUACACUUCACAAGUUAAAUAAGAAAAGAUGAAGCCAUCAAGCAGAGGCAGCAACAUCGGAAAAGUGACAUACUGUCUUGUUUUGUCCUGUCCUUCCACUGUGUUUUGUCCACAGAAAUAGCACACCCAGCAGACUCAGACACCGGUAAAAUGAGUCCAUCCCAUUUCCCCACAGCUGUAGAGUUACCUCACUGCUGUGACUACAACUUUUGUCUUUCCCGAUCUCUGCACUUUGCUCCCUGCCUUAGCUAUGAAAGGGGCAUUUGAUCAGUCAGGGGUUUUAACUGUGCUUACACAGUUGCCAGACUUCUGUUCCUUCAGCAUGCAAACUGUGAGGUUGUCGCUGCCCAUCCCCUUCCAGCACGGACAUUAUACAACCCCGUUCCACUGCGUCACUGAAGAAUUUGCAUUCAGGAGAAACAGGUUAGGCCGGCCGCUUCCUAACUGUGCGCUCCGAUAAGAACAACCGUGUAUAGUUACAACCCCUAGUCUGUGCUGGAGUUGGAGUAUAUUUCCUGUGGUUCAUCAGAAGAACUGGCAAGCAAACAAGGCUUAUAGAUGUGAUUCAGACUUGUGAGGAUUUCCUGUUGCAAAAGUUUGGCAUUCACUGAUGUUUCCCGGUGGUGCAGAAAGCCAGAGGAGCAGUGGGUUGCCAUAAGGAUUUGGCCUGAAGAUUCUUCCUGUGGAGCUAGCAAAUGGUGAUUUGAAUUGUGUCCUGCAAGAUGAAAGCCAUAAAUCAGACCUGAGCAGAGGUGAAAGUCUAAGUAAUUGUUAAUGCUCUGAACCUAAGGUGCCAAACUUCAUUUCAUCUCUUCAAUAUUUGGACAGGACAAGGAUACUUCUUCUUCUUUAGAAUAAGGAAACAGUGGAAUCUUCUUCAGAAAUUCUUCAGAAAUUCCCAGGAGGUGCAAUGAGUGCACAUAGUUCUUACUCUGGUUAUUUGUCUUCUUCUCGCAUUGCUGCAGCUAGAAGAUUGCUAAGUGCCUUUUUAGGACAGGUUUGAAUUCAGUGAGACUACUUACGUAAGUAGCUGCUCACCAAUUUGAGCAAUGUCACCCUCGGUUUCCAUUUCUAGGACAUAUUGGUCAAGAAAGUUGGGUCUGUUACGUCAAUAACCUCUUGGCUGCUACAUCUCGGCUCCUGUCCUCCAGAGUCUGUUGGCGAGCUUCAGCACAAUUCCCAUUAAAUUUACUACAAACUGAUUAAAUCAUGGCUUGUAGUGGAUGGUACAGAAUUUGGUUGUUUAUUUAUCUCUGGCUGAUUUUCUAGGAUCAGGGAUUUCUACUGCCCUAAAGAUGAAAGGUUAAAUUCCUUCAAGUCUUUGUCCUAGAUAACACCAUGUCACUCUGCUUGGACUCCACAGAGGAUAGUAUGCGUAUCCCUUUGUAAAUGCCAUUCCAGUAAUUCUCUCUUACAUGAAUUUUCUGAAGAACAACAAAGCAACGCUUGGUGGGAAUUUCCCACAAUGUAUUUGUUUGUAUCCAAAAACGCUGACUUGUUAAAACAGAACCUUUUUGUGGGAAAGUAUUUGUUCCAGUAAGAAGGCUUCUCAGAUUCAGAACUGAAUUU